GCACUAAUGGGGUAGUGGUAACCUGGGUCGUUGCCAUCGAGAUUCGAAAGUCUCGACCCGCCGGGGGUUCGAUUCCCUCUUAGUGCA